AGAGAUUCGGUCCUUUCUUGCUCCUAAGUGAGCCGUGAAAAUCCUCCCCUUUUUAGCUAGAUGUGAACUCCAAGGCUUAGGCUAAGUGGUGCUAAAUUUUGAGAAGAUUUGGUGGUGAUUUGAAUGGUUUUUGUAGAGGAAAUGUUGAAGAGCUUUCGGUUGUCCCUUGGCUGUCUGCUAUCCGUCCAUGGCAGCUAGAAGAAAUGAAAUGUUGGUCUGAUUCCUUUGCGUACAAAUGAAGCUUGCCGUCUAAUAUUUUAAGUACGUAAAAAUCAAUUGCAACUAGUGUGCCUACGCGCGCGUUUUGUGUUCGAUUUCUCUUAAGUUUGUUGCACUAGUGCACUAAACCUCUAGGGCACUUACAUUCAUAUAAAUAUUAUUCAUUCUUAAUUGUCCCAAAAUAAUGGUCCAAGGUCCCUCAAUUAAGCGCGCACGUGAAAACACGUAUUUCCAAUUUAGGCGCGAUAAAAUGAAACUUUCGAGAAAUUCUUAUAACAAUCGUACUACCAACUAUCACUUGAGUUUUUAAACCUAAAAUUGCCUAUUUUAGGACCAUUGUAUAUGUCUUAAAUUUUUGAGCUUAUUGUACUCCCAAUUGGCUAAAGUGUUUAGACACGUUUUCACUUUUCACUAAACAAGCUUAUAAGAAAAUAAUUUUUUUGAAACGAGACACUUCAAAAAUAUAACGAAACUAUAAAACCCUGUACUUAGGUCUAAUAAGGCUAGAAAAUAUUAUUCGUGGCAAAAAUCCAAAUAAAUAAUUAAUUUAGCCAAAAUUAGGGUUUUUAAAAAUAAUAGAUUUUCGAGUCCUCACAGGAAGGAGAUAUGGGAAUCUGGUUUUGUUGCCAACAUUGAACUAGAUGAAGCUCUUGAACACGAGCUAGGGCAGCAUGUUCAUUUCUAUAUUGACCCUGUUGCUGUAGUAUUCCCAUUCCCUCAACCUGAAGUAGACGUGCAUAUGUAGUGGCCCUUGGAUGUUUAAUCAGUCGUUGUUUAGUAUGCUAAAGGACUUCCUAAUCAACCAUAUUGUAUGUACUAAAGCAUCUUUACUUCUUUUUUCUUGUUUAGCAUGCUAAAGGAUGGUUUUUUGGCCAACAAGGAACUAUACGAGAGACUUUGAAGUCAAGCCAGGGGAGCAUGUUAAUUUCUUUGUUGACCCCGUUGCUGUGGUAUUUCCUCAACCAGAAGUAGAUGACAAGAAUAAGCAUAUGAGGAUGUGUAUCUAUUUAUGGUGAGAUUUUUUUUCCUUUUUCCUUUAAUUCUAUUCUGCAAUAGUACAUUUGUUUGUCAAAUUGGUGAACCUGAUUUUAAAUAGAAAUUUUAAAUAUUUAAAAUAGAAGUUUUACUGAACCUGAUUUUGAAUGCUAAAUGAAUCUGAUUUUAAGGAAGCAGAGUUCAGUUGAACACUAAAUAAAAAGAAAUUCUGAGUUUCCAGGAAUUCCAGUUGAAUAUUUAGAAGGUAAAAAGAAAAUAAUUCUAACUGAAAUCGAGUGUAGUUUGGAUUUUUUUUUUUUUGAUAAUGAAUUGAACACAAUUAAUUUCUUGCAAAUCGAGUGCAAUCAGAACUUCUGUAGCUAUUUCGAGGAAUUGAUAUGAUUUGAUACAAAUGUAAUAAGCAGUAGAAAGGAAAAGGUAAACGAGAACUCAAUGAAAUAAAAGGAAAAGCAAGUAAUCAAUUAAUGUUGAAAGCUGCAGAGAGUUGUCUCUUAGCUUCUCUUUUCUUAGAGGAACUUGCCUUCCCACCGACCAUCAAUCCAGUGACCAAUGAAAACUUUAGGGAUAUGAGAAAUUGUCUGAUAAUCUUCACUUUGUUUAUCCAAAUUCCGUACUUUGUGCACUAGCUCAUCAGACAUUUCAAAAAACCCAAGAGAUUCAAGUCCGGACAAGGUUUGGAUGCCCGAAGGCAACUCUUGCAUUAGUUUGCAAUCACCUAAGCGCAGUUUUCUGAGGCUAGGCAUUGAUUCCUCUUCCACUCUCACCCAUUUCAGUCUUUUUAACUGCCCAAGCUCUAAGCGCUGGAGUUUUUGAAAUCCUCCAACCUUGAAACAUAAUGUCUCCCCUUCAUAAGCACGAUGGAGAGUAAGUGAUACCAGAUUGGGCAAAUGUCCGAGGGAGCCUAUUACAUUCUCAUCAUCUCUCAACCUACUAUUUUCCAACCGUAACAUUCUCAAGGAGUGAAGUGAUGUCACCCAUUGUGGUACUCUCUCUAAACGCCCCUUCAAUAUCAGAAGUGUGAGGAAUCCAAGCUUUGGAAAGACGGAAUGUUGGAGAUCAAGGGUCUCAUCUUCUUCAAUACAGGAGAUGAUCAAAUCUCGAAGGUUACUCAGCCUCAAGAGGGAGGAGAGCAACUCCUUUCCAUCUUCUCUUCUCAGCUUUGUGAUGGCUAAUCCUCGCAAUUGCGUUAGCUUUCCAACCUCCAUUACUAUUCUAUCACUGUCUGCUUCUAUACCAUACAACUCCUCCAAACAAAUAAGCUUUCCAAUUCCAAGUGGACAUUUACAGCCCCAAUUUGCAUACUCAUUUGAAUAAUCACCCCAUCCACCUAACCAAAGAGAGCGGAGUUUUCUUAGCUUUAGAAUUUCCACAGGCAACUCUGUUACAUUGGUUCGUGUCAGAUCUAUAACUUCAAGGUUUUGAAGCUUCCCAAUAGAUUUUGGAAUAAUUUUAACUCCAGUUCCACUGAGAUUAAGAUACCUGAGAUGAAAUAGUUUGAAGACUUGCUUUGGGAUGUUGUCCAAUUCAGCUCCAUCCAAAUCCAACACCUUUAGCAACUUGGGAUCACCACUUAAGAACUUGGAUAAAAAUGUAGCUGUGAGAGGAUCUUCAUACCCAAAUAUUACCACAGACCGAAGACACUUUAAACUACUAAAUUCUUGUGGAUUAUCAGUGAAGUUAUGGAUUGCUAGGUGUCGAACUUUUUCAGGCCAUCUUGUGUAAUAUCUGGUGGCUACAGUCGUGAAGUCCUGCUCUUUCGAUUUUGAAACAAUGAUUUCACGCAGAAAAUCAUGAAGACCACAUGUAAUCAAUCUGCCAUCGUCCCAUGUGGAUUUAACUUGGAUUAAGCUUCUGUUGAUGAGUUUUUUCAUAUAACUCAUAGCAAUAUCAGUGGAUGUUAUUCCUCCUUUCAUUCCUCUUUUCUCUUCUAGAAAUCCUAGUGCAAUCCAUUUUGGAAGUAUAUGAUCCACAUCAAUUGAAUAAUCUUCAGGAUAGAUGCUUAGAUAUAAUAGGCAGCUUUUAAGAUAGAAAGGCAAAUCAUUGUAGCUAAGUAAGAGUACCCUUUUGAUCCUGUCAAGCUUACCACUGCCAUCUGCCUCGCCACCAAAGCCAUGAAGAAUCAUCUCCCAUUCAUCUGUCGUUUCCUUGUCCUUCAGAGCCAAAACACCACCUAUUGCAACAAUUGCAAGCGGUAGGCCGUCACAUUUUUUCAGUAUUUUUUUAGCAACUUCUUCUAGAUUUGGAGGACAGUAGUUGCACUGAAAUGUUCUAUUGCAAAACAGAGUCCAAGACUCUUUAUCAGAAAGAGGCUCCAUCUUAUGAAGUCAAGUGAUCCUAAACAGGACGCAGAAGCUACAUCGGCUAUUCGUGUUGUCAAUACAACAUGACUAGCAGUAUUGCAGUCAGGCAAUACACAUUUGAUAGCUUCCCAGGCAUCUAUACUCCACACAUCAUCAAGGACAAGAAUGUACCUUCUUUCUUGGAGGAAGUCUCUGACAAAUUCACUCAGCAUAAUAUCAUUCAUGGAUUCCACUUCGGGAGGGACCGGCUGUCUGAUUUCGUUGUACAACUGUUGGAUCAGGUUCUUGAUGAUGUCCCUGAACUGAAAAUUUUGAGAAACAGUUAUCCAGGCAUGGCUCUGAAAUUGUUUCUUCACUGCAGCGUCAUCGUAGACUUUUUUCACCAGGGUAGUCUUCCCGAGUCCCCCCAUUCCCACAACCGAAACUACUUUCAAUUGGGAAUGGUCAUCAAGGAUUUUUGAGAUGAGCUCUGCUUUUGGCUUAUCAAUCCCAACAAGUCGAGCUUCUUCAAUGAAGAGUGAUUGAGCACGAAUGUCAAAAUCUGCAUUCACCUGACGAGAAGGGCUGAAGCCUCUUUCUUGAGUACCAUAUUGGGACUGGAACCUCCGAUGCCUUUCUGAAAUGUCUCCAACUCUGGCCUUGAUGUCUUUUAUCUCCAAAGAAAUUUGAUGGCGAGCUUUCAAAUUCUUUAUUGAGUUAUAGAUCUUUCCAACCUUUCCACAGAAUCCAUCCUUGUAGCCACGAGCAAAGCGGAAUGUAAAAUCAUCGAGAACAUCCUCUGUAUCAUAAGCAACUUCUCGAACCUGCUUUAGCCAUGCUCGGAGUUGAGAAUCAUUGCCUUCCUUUGCUUCAGCUUCUCCGAGGAAAGCCUUCAUGCUCUCGAGUUCAUCUUUGAUGAAUUGAACAUCUGAUUUAAGCCCCCCCAAAAGUGUGAUCUCUUGGGAAAGUAAGGUUGAGAGCUGGUUAAUCAAAAAACCUACAACACUCUGAGCCAUAAUGCAAUUUUUUUUUUUUGGGGUAGUAUAGAGGAUGAGUUUUAUUUGGCACUUUGAUAGUACAAUUAUUGUCGAUCACCUAUUAAUGCGCUUUACAAGCAGAAAAAGCAAGGCUCGCAUGCUGCCUACAAUUAACGAAAAGGGCAGUUUUUUGUUUUCUUUGUAUAUUUUUUUUCAAUAUUGGUCAUUGAUCAAUUAUGUAAUAAGUUAUAAAACUGUCCCCUUAAUAUAUUUUCAAAUAAGAAUAAUCUUUGUACUAGCCAUUACCUAAAAUAACAAGAGAAAUAAAUAUUUCAUGGAUUUCUUUUAACCAACCAUUGGAGGUCUUGGAUUCUUAUCCUAAGCCGACAGGCUAAGACUUCACAGUGGCAAAUGGUCAAUGGAAAAAGGAAUGGUUGUGAUGCUCUCUCUUCCAAUAAUGCAAGGGACGAUGAAAUAAAUUUCCCAUUAAUUUUUGCCUUAUCUAGCCAAGCUCUAACGAGUUUUCGAGCUACUCGUGAAGUUUAACAGCUCUAGUAGGGAGACUAGUAGGGGCCGCCUUCAACGAAGUUAUUAAUGACGUUAAAUGCCCAAGGCAACCAUCAAUAAUGACCACGUCCCGUGAGUGGAGAAAAAUUUAAUUGAUUGAGUGUUUUUUUUCUUUUAUUUUAUUUGGAGGAAAUGAUUGAAAAAUUUUACCGGUGUAGCAUAAUGUGUACAACCGAAUCAUCAAUUCCGCUGCAUGGUAGUUUGACACUUUUAAAAAUAAAUUAUCUGCUGCCUACUACGAUGUUGAUUGUGCACGGCAGACGAUUUUUUUGGAAAAAAAAAAAAAAAUUUGCCCGCUGGCUACCGUGCACAAUUAGCAUGAUAGCCUGACACUUUAGAAAAAAAAAAGUAUUUUGCUACCGUAUUGAUUAGGCACGAUAGUUAUAGUUUUGUAUCAAGAGAAUAUCAGAGCUACAUUUGGCGGAUAAUUUUUUUUUUUUUACCUAUAUUCUAAGAAAUUAGACCACUGAAGUUGGCUUUGAAAGGAAAAAACAAAAAAGUCACAUUCAACUUUCGAUUCUUGGUUCUACAAUAUCUUGUAAGGUCAUGUCCAGCUAAUUUCUGACCUCUGCUAAUUUCUGACCUUACAAGAGGUCAGAAAUUAGCUGGACAUGACAUGGUUGCCCAAUGGAAAAGAAAAAAGAAAUCAACUGAAGUUACCAAAUGCUAUGAACCUGUGGAUCAACGAUCAUGAUAAUAUCAAAUCAAUUUACUCUUUUUAACAAUUUCUCAUAAUUGUUUGUGAAAUUUUUUUUUAAAAAAAAAUGUUGGCAUUGAAAAGGGACAAUAUAUCCCUGGAAAAGUUAUUAAAAUUAAAUGUGCCCAUAUUUCUUUAAAUGACUGAAAAAUGAGAUAUAUACAGAAGUGGUAGAUAACAAUUGGAAGAUACUCAUGCUACUACGAGUGUAGUGAAUCAUUAGUUUUAGUGUCAAAGAUGGGCAAAUUACGCUUUAUUCCCUGUGGUUUAGUAUUUUUUUUUACAUAAUUCCCCUAUGAUUUUAAAAGCUAUACAUAGACCCCUCAUAGUUUGGAUUAAAGUGUCAAAAUAACGGAAUUUACAAUCCAUAACAGAGUCAACUGAAAUAUCAAAAAUAUCUCUAUGUAAAGUUGAAAAUUAUUUAUUAACCACAGGGGGUUAUGUAUAUAUACUGAAAAUCGUAAGGGAGUUAUAUGGUAAAACACUAAACCAUAAAGGGGUUAUAUGGUAAAAUAUAAAAGUCAUACGAGGUUAGAGUGUCAUACAUAAUAUGUUUAUAUAUUUUGGUCACUCCAGCUACUUUAGUUUUUAUACAAAAGUAAUUUCGACAUUUUUAUAGGUUCCAUUACGGAUGAUCAUUUCCGUCACUUUGAUACUUUAAUCCAAAUUAUAAUGGAUUAUAUAUAGGUUUUAAAACUAUAAGGGGUUAUGUAAAAAUUAGCUAUACCACGGGAGGAUAAAGUUUAAUUUGCCUGUCAAAGAUCAAUAUUUUCUACUAAUAGUUGCUCUCAGAGCUCAUGUAUAUGUUUGCUAUGGCCAAGUUGAUUCAUAUGCUCAUUUGACAAUUAACUUCUACUUAGUCCACGCUAUAACUUCAAGCUGGCUGCUUUUUCAACUACUAUUUUGGCAUCUCUUUCCUAUUUUUAACACCUUAGUGGUUAAUAUGUCGGACGAUUCAUAGAGCUUAUGAAACCGGCCAUAACCAGUAAAAUCCAAACUCUGGAACUGAUUUACUAUUUUUUUUUCUUUUACAAUUAAAUGUUUGAAUUGGGGUUGAAGAGUAAACAAAAAACUUAUCAUUUGCUUCACAAGGAAUUUUAUGUCUGUUCGAAACAACUAUUAGACAUGAUUCGGGAACAAUAGAAAAGUUCCAAAGUGGAUAUACGAGGAUCUCACUUACUAAUUUACAUGUUAAGUGAAAUCCACUUGACAUGUUAUAUAAAAUCAGGUGGAACCCUUGAAUGUUCUCAUGGAACCUUUUCAUUGGUUCGGAAACAAUUAUUAGGCAUGAUCGACAUAAAAUUUUCCUCCAUUUCACUUAGCAAUUCAAUUUUUUUAAAAAAAAAUUUUGAUUAAAUCAAGUUGCUCUUCCCCCAUUAGCACUAUCUUCUGUCUUUCAAUUCCUCUUCAAUCCAUACAUGAAUAUACCAUCGGAAAUAGUGACUAAACCCUUCCAUCCUUCCUUGGCACUCCCUUGCGCUAGCCAUGUUUUGAUCCGUAGACCAGGUCACUAUAAUCACAAAAAAUGUGGAUGUAUGACAAGCUUCUCAAUGUUCAAAUGCCCUAUAUUCACAAUUUAUUAUUGGAAUGGUACUCCCAAUUCCAUGAAGAUAAUACUAUUAUUCAUAAAUUUUAAUAAAUGACCUUUGUUUUUUCUUUUUCAAAUUUCGGCUACCAGAAAUAAUUUUAUAAAGCAAGGGGCAAAUAUUAACUUAAGGAAAAGUCAUGCACGAUCCAAUGGCUCUCUAUGUACAAGCUUAUUCCUCCAAUAAUUAAGUAGGAUGUUAAUGCUUAUACGACAAAUUGUAAAUGUUAACAACAGUUGUUUGACAUAUUAUAGAACUCAAAUAAUUGGCAAAUGUACACAUCUUUAGCCUUACAUAGAACUUUCAAUUAUUUAUUAUAUAUAUACACACAUAGAGACAUGUACAUAUAUACCAAGUGGCUAAGGAACUUUUCCAGUGAUUUUUGUCGUCCUCCAUUUGGUUAUGGUUUGCACGUGAGUCUUUGUUUUGCCAUUUUGGUUGAGUGAAGAAAGCUAGAAGUGUGAGGCUUGUUUGCAUAUUUUUUUUGGAUUAAUCUCUUUUACACUGAUAAUGUAUAUACUGUCAGUUAUGGACAAAUAAUAGUUAUGCAAAAUUUGAGUGUGAAAUUCAACUUUUAUACAUGUAUAAUAAAUCUAAUAGUGAUAAUGCAUAUAACGUCCGUGUAUAUAAGAUUUAGUCUUUUUAAUUGACAGUGGUAAUUAUAUCAUGUCCUAUUGGAGAUUAAAGUAUCGCACUUUUAGUGGUUGCGGGUUUAUUUUGUUUGUGUGUGAUUCAUUUUGUGUAGAGAAUCCUAUGAUCUAAAAAAGUAAGCCAAGUAGGUUGAAAACUCAGGUUCUUCAGUUGUAGCACAGAUUAGAAAGUAAAAAAAAAAAGCAGCAAAGUUAUAUUACCAAGACACCACUAGGUCACGUUGAGACAGGUGUUUGGACGCCUGGUUCUGAAAUACUUGCCACUCACAGCCACGGUGGGAAUAUAGUAGGCGUUGACAAAAUUCAACUCCAUAAUCAAAAUCUACAUAGAACACAGUCUUAUAAUGUAGCUACUACAUUAGAUAGCCUGUCCUUUCGAUUUUGCUUCAACAUCUAAGGAUAAUGCAGAAUCUCAGCAUUAGAGUUCUUCUUUUGAUUUCCUCUGAUCAAAUGGAAGGUAUAACUAUUGUUUGAUUUCCUCAUUUGAUUCCAUCUAAAUAGCAUAAAAAGCUAUUUGAUUCUUUCUAUAGAAAUUCUUUCUGCUAAUGCAGUUUAGCUUCCACUACUCUCCCAUUUAGUCUGCCUAUGAUCCAUGCCGAGAAUUCUUAUAUACAGCUUGGGCAUGUCCUAAAAGUACAGGAAAAAAGAGGAGGUAAAGUGACAGGUGUCGAGCCUGUGCAAUAAUAAAUACCUGCUCGAGAAAAAUAUAAAUUUUCUAUGUAUAGUAGUGAGCAGGAUCAAAUCCACAGGGACUGGAAAAAAUUCGAUUCUUUUCAAGUUCGGGACACGGGGGAUUUUUAUCAGAAUGAAACUAAAAAUAAUUAAACAAUUUAACCAAAAAUAAAUGAUUAAUUAAUAUGAAUGUAAAUAGAAAUUAAAUAAAUAAUAAAUAAAUUCUAGCCAAAGAUACAACUACGCAGACAUAGUCCAUUCAUCUGAUCAUUGAUGCAAAGAAGGUUCACUUAAUUUUAUUAACAGGUUAGUUAUAGUCGCCGAUAAGUUUUGACGACCAAUUUUUCCUUAAUUUAUUGAUAACCAAGGUACGACCGUUGAUUACUUUUAAACAGGAAAUACUCCUAGGUUCGACUGUAGGAAUUAAUUUCCUAAUUGCCUUAAAAACUAGAAAAGCCUAACCCAAAUUAAUAACACGCUACGAAGGUUAUUUAAAUCAAAUUGCAUGUUCCCCUAGUAUGUGAAAAUACUAGUUGCAACUUAUAUUAACCAAUUAAAAAAUUACGGAUUUAAUUGAUUAAUUUGACAGGAGAUUAAUAAGUCAAAUUGCACAUCGGACCCUUGAUAUCCAAUUAACAAAAUAAUCCCAUGAAAAUUCAAAUAGAAAACAUGCAAAUAUUAACAAAUUAAGGAACACAUGAAAAUUAAUUCGAUCUCAUAGAUAUUUGGAACUGCGUCGUCGUGUUGAUCCUUGAUUAGAUGAGAAGAUUAGCCACGCCUCAUAAGAAAGUUCCCACAAAAUUUAAUAGAAUUCAAAGGCAUAAAUAACUCUUGAAGAAAACCCUCACACCACAAACAAGAGAAGGAACAAGUUCCUCUCUUAAAACUAAAACUCCUAUCUUUUCCCCCGUAGAGAGAAACUAGUCUAUUGUUCUUUGCAAACAUAAAAACAAGCCAAAUGGAAAACUUCACCCCACGUCCACAAAAGAACCAUUCUUCUUCUACCUAAUCAAUCCCACCGAAAACAAAAGCAAAAGCCAACUUUUGUUUGUCGGGCUUCCUUUGACCAAAUGCACACGACCACAAGAAAGCAAUUAUCCUACUACCAUAAGAAAGCAAACAAAAGGCACACCAUCUUUAGACAAUAACUAAUUCUUCGCGGUCCCCACCAAAUUGAGAUGUUGGCUUGCCAAAUUCCUUAUUUCCUAUUGCUAGUGGACUACAUCAUAACAAUUCAAUUCUUCAAUUCUUCAUCAGCACAAGGAAAGGAAAUCCGUUGGUUUUGUACCAUGUGGGCCAGUUGUGUAAAGCUUUUAGAAGCUCUCACGUGUGGAGUAAUCUUCUCAAGAAGGUUUUUGCUCCACUUUCUGAAAUUGGGUUCAAAUACCAGAUAUAAGUAUAUGUCACAAUUAAAGCAAUAUUUGGCGAGGUCAAAGAGGAAAAUUAACAAUAAAAUUACUAACAAUUGACACCCUAUCAAUUCCCCUCACACUUAAAUCAUGCUUGUCCUCAAGCAUAAGAACACUAAACUCAACAAUGGCUAGUUCUCAUGUCAUCUAUUGCCAAGUUGUGUUUACACCAAAAUCAAGGUUUAGAGGCUAAGUGUCAAGACAUAAUUCUCCCGGUUAGUUCCUGAAAUCAUAGACUCGUCCAUUUCAUGGCUAACUCGUCUAAGAAAUAAAAAUAGCAAAAAUUAGCAAUUGGGUCAACUGACAACUAAAAUCUCAACAUUGAAGAACAAGGAUCGGCAGGCCAACAUGAUCAUAAGCUUACACAUUUUUUUUCUUUUUUUUUUUAAAUAAAUGCUCAGUCCCAAGCUAUUCAAGUCUUUUGACGUGAACUCUGACAUUUUUAGAUGAAAGAGUCCAGUUACUCAACUCUUCACAGGUUCAAGACUACCUACUCAUAGAUAUCGCCACUUUUUGACGCGAUAGUCGACACUUGUGGAAAAGACUCCCGGUUACUGGGUGACGACACUAGUGGAGUAGAGUCAUUUAUUAAUCACAAUUAAAGUACCAGAAUACCAGACAGUUAAAGAUCAUGGCCCAUAUCAUCUCCUAACAUGGAAAACUGAGUCCACAAUCGCCCAAUCCACACAACAAUCUAAAGAAACAUGCUUUUGCACCAAGUCAUUAAACUCAUGAUAUUCACCAAGAUAACAUGCUUUUGCUUGCCACCUAAACAAAAUUCAUAGGAUAAAUCACAACCAGCAAUAGAAGAGUGAGUUGCCACAUUUAUUCAUCAAGACAACAGUAAGAUAAGCAGCAAAUUUAAAGAAACAUCAGUCGAUUCAUCAAGACAACAGUAAGAUAAGCAGCAAAUUUAAAGAAACACCAGUCGAAUUCAAAUCCCCCCCACACACUUAUAGCACACAUUGCCCUCAAUGUGACAAUUAAACAGUAAAAGCAAGAAUGAGGGUAACGGGACUUCCCUAAAACCACAGGGAUCGUGUCAGGGUCGCAUCGGCGGGUGAGGGAAAGUUAUGGCCGAAAGAAAAGAAGGAAAAGGAGAAAAGGGAAAUGGGAGAGAAGAAAGAAAUAAAGAAAGAAAAGAAAGAAAGAAAGAAAAAAGAAGAAAGAAAGAAAGAAAAAGAAAAGAGAAAAAAAAAUAGUUUUUGAGGAUUUUUUUUUUUUUUUUUUACAAACUCAAAUUUCAAAAUUCGAAUUGUGAGAACCAAAACUGAAGGUGUAAAAUGGAAAAUGUUUUUAUUUUGAUUUUUUUUUGUUUUUAGGUUGUUAAAUACAGCGUGGGCACGCCAAGAUUAUAAAACGUCCACUGACCUCAGGAGUCACUAACAAGGCGUGGGCACGCCAAGAUUGCAUUUCCUGCCAAUGUCGCGAGAUGUUGAGAUUUGACUAACAUGGCGCGGGCACGCCAAGAUUGGUAAACAUCCACUGACCUCAAGAAUUACUAAAAUGGCGUGGGCACGCCAAGAUUGCACUUCCUGGUCAUAGUGAAGGAAAAUAUUAAGAUCGACUAUUACUCAACUGAGAAACGACAAAAUGAAAGAAAUGAACAAUAAAAAAUAAUAAAACCAAUAUUUGGGUUGCCACCCAAAAGCGUCUUUCUUUAAUGUUUUUGGCUAGAUCUAACCCAGAAUUUGCUUAAACUAAGCAAAUCGGGUCCUCCAAUUGCAUCAUCUCUACCCGUUCAAUCGGAAACCCUUCAUAAUACGGCUUGAGACGGUGACCAUUCACCACAAAUUUCUUCUCCUUUUUCAAACUCCGGAUCUCCACUGCACCAUAAUCAAAGACAUUAGUCACAAUAAAAUGACCAAUCCAACGAGAACGUAAUUUACCUGGAAAUAACUUCAAUUUCGAGUGGUACAGUCGAACUUUUUGUCCACAGAUGAAUGUCUUCCUAGAGAUCUGUUGGUCAUGAAAGAUCUGAUUCUUCUCCUUAUAGAUCACUGCAUUCUCGUAUGCUUCAUUUCGGAUUUCUUCAAACUCUUGUAAUUGCAACUUCUUUUGAAUUCCGCCCUCCUCGAUAUCCAUAUUGCAUUAUUUGACCGCCCAAAACGCUCUAUGCUCGAACUCGACCGGUAGAUGACAUGGCUUCUCAAAUACCAACCGGUAAGAGGACAUUCCAAUGAGUGUCUUGUAUGCCGUCCUGUAAGCCCAUAGUGCAUCCUCCAGGCUCAUACUCCAGUCUUUCCUAUCAGGUCGGACCAUCUUCUCUAAAAUCAACUUGAUUUCUCGAUUUGAUGCUUCCGCCUGACCAUUUGUUUGAGAAUGGUAGGAUGUGGAGACUUUGUGCAAGACACCGUAUCUCCUAAAAACUGCAGCGAUCGUCUUGUUGCAGAAAUGAGUACCCCGAUCACUUACAAUUGCUCUCGGCAUCCCAAAGCGGACAAAAAUGUUAGACUUAAUGAAUUCUGCAACCACUUUGGAAUCAUUAGUGCGGGUGGCCUUUGCUUCCACCCAUUUCGAAACAUAAUUUACAGCAAGCAAUAUAUACAAAAAACCAAAGAACGAAGGAAAAGAACCCAUAAAGUCAAUACCCCAAACGUAAAAAAUUUCAACAAAAAUCAUUGGGGUCUGAGUCAUUUGAUCCUUAUGAUAGAGAUUACCUACUCGUUGACACUUAUCACAGGACUUAUAAAAUGAGUAGGCGUCUUUGAAUAGGAUCGGCCAAUAGAAUCCACUUUCUACCACCUUACAAUCCGUCCUCUUCGGUCCAAAGUGACCUCCACACGCAAAAGAGUGACAAUAUGUUAGAAUGGAUUGGAAUUCAACCUCACUUACACAUCUUCGGAUAAUUUGGUUGGCACCCCGCUUCUAGAGAUAAGGACCAUCACAAAUAUAGGACUUUGCAUCGCUCCUCAAUUUGUCUCUCUUAGCCUUAGGCCAUCCUGUAGGAAACUUGUCAGUGACUAGAAAGUUAACCAUAUCCGCAUACCAAGGCAAAGAUGAGUUAAUAGAAAAUAAAUGGUCAUUGGGGAAUGCUUCUCUCAAUGGGAGCUCAUCUUUGACGACUUGUACUCGACUCAAGUGAUCUGCUACCAGAUUCUCCGUACCUUUCUUAUCUCGGAUCUCUAGGUUGAACUCCUCUAGCAAUAAUAUCCACUGUAUCAAUCAUGGUUUAGCCUCUUUCUUGGUCAACAGAUACCGCAAAGCUGCAUGAUCAGAAAAAAUAAUAACUUUAGCACCAAGUAAAUAAGAUCGAAAUUCUUCUAAGGCAAAAACAACCGCCAAGAGCUCCUUUUCGGUGGUUGAAUAGUUCAAUUGAGUUCCGUUCAAGGCUCGAGAUGCGUAGUAGAUAGUAUGGGCUGCCUUUCCCACUCUUUGACCCAGUACCGCACCCACUGCAUAGUCGCUGGCGUCGCACAUGAUCUCAAAUGGGAGGUUCCAGUCGAGGGGUUGGAUAAUAGGUGAUGAGGUCAAUAGCUCCUUUAACUUAUCAAAUGCCCUCUUACCUGUUUCAUCGAACUCGAAGGAUACAUCUUUUUGCAAAAGUUGGAACAAGGGUGCUCCAAUUUUCGAGAAAUCUUUGAUGAACCUUCUAUAGAAACCUGCGUGACCCAAGAAGGAACGAACUUCCGGCAUACUCGCGGGGUAAGGUAAAGUAGAUAUAACAUCUAUUUUUGCCUUAUCAACCUCGAUACCUGUAGAUGAUACUACAUAACCUAAAACUAUCCCGUGUUCGACUAUAAAGUGGCAUUUUUUUCAAUUAAGCACGAGAUUAGUUUCUAUACACCUUACUAAGAUUAAUUUCAGGUUAUCUAGACAAUUUUCAAAACUUUUAUCAUAUACAGUGAAAUCGUCCACGAAAAUCUCAAUAAUCUUCUCAACAUACUUUGAAAAGAUACUUACCAUGCAUCUUUGGAAGGUAGCAGGUGAAUUGUACAAUCCAAAUGGCAUCCUUCGAUAUGCAAAUGUUCCAAAUAGGCACGUGAAAGUAGUUUUCUCUUGGUUCUCGGGUGCAAUGGAAAUUUGGAAAUAACCUGAAAAUCCAUCCAAGAAACAAUAGUAAGCUCGACAUGCCAAUCUCUCUACUAUCUGGUCAAUGAAAGGGAGGGGAAAAUGGUCCUUUUUCAUGACGGCGUUUAGCUUCCGAUAAUCGAUACGCUGUCGCCAUCCAGUGGGUUUUCGAAUUGGUACGAGCUCACCCUCUUGGUUUGAUUCCACCGUCAUCCCUGCCUUUUUCGGGACCACCUGUACUGGACUCAUCCACGGGCUAUCUAAUAUUACAAAUAUAAUUCCAACGUCCAGCAGCUUUAAAAUCUCCUUCUUUACGACCUCCAUCAUGAGAGGAUUUAAUCUUCGUUGAACCUGCCGCACGAGUUUAGCACCCUCCUCGAGUCGAAUUCGAUACAUACACACUCGGGACUAAUUUCUUUGAUGUUGGCAAUGGUCCAUCCUAUCGCCUGCUUAUGUUUCCUAAGAAUUCAAAAUAGUUUGUCUUCUUGAACCUUUGAUAAACCCGCGGAGAUGAUCACUGUAAGUGUCUCCCCUUCACCCAAGUAUACAUACUUCAGAUGUUUCGGCAGCGGUUUCAGUUUCAAAACAGAUGUUUGCACCACAUAUGGAAGUAACCUUUGGUGAGGUUCGGGUAUGAAAAUCGGUGCAAGAUCAUACCUUGUCUUUGUGGUUGGUAACGUUUGCAACGAUCCAACCACACAUUUAAGCUCUUCACUCAACUCUAUCCCAGAGGUCAUCUCGGACUCGAAGUGCCUGGUUAAGACGACCUCUAACGCAUCCCUGCCUUCAAUUUCAAAAACCUCCUGUAUAGCAGGGUUAAUAACAUUUAUCGAGAAAAUAGAGCUAACAUUUGAAUCGGAUGGAUAUUUUAUGGUCUCAAAGAUGUUAAAGUGAACAAUCUCACCAUCAAAUUUCAUAGACAAAGUACCCUUAUUAACAUCAAUUUUAGUUCGGGCUGUGCUCAAAAUGGGUCUACCUAACAAUAAAGGUGACGGAUCAUGGGAGUGUUUAUCCUCCAUGUCGAGCACAUAAAAAUCAGUUGAAAAAAUCAAUUCAUUAAUUUUUACCAAAACAUCUUCAAUCAAUCCAUCAGGGUAUGCAUUGGUCCUGUCAGCUAGUUGGAUUAUUAUCCCAGUCUCUUUCAAAGGGCCUAAAUUCAAGGAAGCAUAAAUGGACUUUGGCAUGACAUUAAUCGAAGCUCCUAGGUCUAACAUGGUCUUUCCGAUCAAAAUAUUACCUAUCCUACAAGGAAUAGUAAACAUACCUGGGUCCCCGCAUUUUGGUGGAAGUUUCCUUUGUAGAAUUGCUGAAACAUUUUCCCCAACUAUAACUCGUCCAUCCCUCUUCAAUUGCUUGUGGUUGGCACACAACUCCCUCAAAAACUUUGCGUAUUUGGGUACUUGUUUAAUCGCAUCCAACAGGGGUAUGUUGAUCUCUACCUUGCGAAAGAUCUCUAAGACUUCUUUCUCCUUAUCUUGCUUCUUUAGUUUCUCUAACCUGUUAGGAAAGGGAGGUGGAUUAGUCUUAACUGUACUAAUUGGGUUUGGGAGUACCUUUGUAUCUUUGUUGUCUCUGCCCUCCUCUUUCAACUCUUUCUCAAUCCGUUUCUCGUCCUUGUCUUUAGAAAUCACAGGUUCGGGUCCUUGGACUUCCUUGCCACUCCUCAAGGUCAUUGCGCUUACAUUCUUUGGAUUCACCUCAGGUUGAGAUGACAAACUUCCCUUGAACUUGGGACUCCAAACGGUUGAUCGUUAUGGCCAUUUGAUUCAUUUGAUUUUACAAUGAUUGCACAUGUCCCAGUUGAUUCCUCAUGCUUUGCAGGUCUGAAUCCGUCUUUUGUUGAUUAGUAAGUAAUUGUUUCAUCAUCUCUUCCAUGGACGGGCUUGAAUUUGAAGGGAGUGGUGGUGGAUGAAGACGGUACUGCUGUGGGUGCCCUUGCUGUCUAAUUGACACAAAGUUAGACUGCCUAUUCCCUCCAUAGCUAAGGUUGGGGUGAUCCCUCGAACCAAGAUUGUAGGUACUUGAGUAUGGGUCGUACUGCUUUCUUGGCGCGAGCGCGUGGCCAACCAUAUUCACCUGUUCUGCAGUUUCUUCCUGAACCAGCGGAUACAUUUCCAUAGGAUGGCCCACGGCAGUGCAUGUCCCACACACUUUGGCUUGUGAGGCACUCCCCACAGCUAGUUGUCGUACGAAAGACGUCAAUUCGGAGAGUUGCUGUUGGAUAGAGGACGUUUCUACCUCAUUUACCUUACGCGUCGUGAUGCCCUCUCUUGAACCAAACUGCUGUGAGUUCUCAUCCAUCCCUUCAAUCAACUCCCAUGCUCCUCGAGGAGUUUUGUUCACCAAUUCCCCUCCACUUGCAGCAUCGAUUAUACUUCUGUCCCUGAAAAGUAGUCCCUCAUAGAAAUAUUGGAUGAACAGUUGCUCACUUAUCUGAUCUUGAGGGCAUUUGGUACACAGUUUUUUAAACCUCUCCCAGAAUUCAUAGAGAGACUCGCCUAGGUGUUGUUUGAUGUCACAUAUCUCCUUCUUUAGGCUUGCAACUCGAGACGCCGGAAAGUACUUGUCCAAGAAUUUUUUCUUCAGUUGGUCCCACAUGGUGAUACUGAUAGGGCGUCAUUUGUUAGUAAUUUUAUUAUUAAUUUCCCCUUUUAUCCCUGCCAAAUAUUGUGUUAAUUGUUGAUAUCUACUUAUAUUUGGUAUCUGGACUUAAUUUCAGGAAUAAAACAGAAAACUACCAAAAAGGAGGGACUUUAUGGAGAAAAUGGAGACUUCUAAGGGUUUCAAUCCUUGGGCCCUUGAAUUGGUGGGGGACCACAAAGCUAGUGAAGGAUAUUUGGUCAUUUGGGCUCUUCAAAGAAAGCAACGUAGAGAGACUUGGAACAAGGAGUAAUUUGGAGACUUUGUCCACAUGUGUGGGGACCACCUAGAUAGCUCUUAGUCAUCUUCCUUUUGGUCCUUUAAAAGGGAACAAUGUAGAGAAGAAAAGGACGGCUUGAGUUUUAGCUUUUUAGUUUAGUUCUAGUUUUCUUUCUUUUGACUGGCCUCUGACACACGCCAGGUGUUCGACAAUAUUCCCCAACGGGGAAAACAUCUUUUAUUCUCUGCUUUCUAUUAAAAAAUGCAAUGCCUUUGCAAUCUAUUAAUUCGUAUGGUGAUUUAAUUAUGCGGCGCAGCUAAGCCUCCCAUCUAGUCAAGGGUCAACUCGACGGCGCAGUCUCGAAAAUCUGUGAGAUCUAAUUAGUUUUCACGCAUUUCUCAAUUUAUUAAUAUUUGCACGUUGUCUGCUUGAAUUUUCUUGGGAUUAUUUUAUUAAUUGGAUGUCAAGGGCCCGAUGUUCAAUGUGAUUUAUUAAUCUCGUGCCAAUUUAGUCAAUUAAAUCCGUAAUUGUUUGAUUGAUUAAUAUUAGUGGCAACUGGUGUGUUUACACAUUAGGGAACGUGCAAUCUAAUUUAAAUAACUCUCGUAGUGUGUUAUUGAUUAGGGUUAGGUUUCUCUAGUUAUUAAUGCAAUUGGCAAAUUAAUUCCUACGGUCGUAUCUAGGAGUAUUUUUCUGGUUAGGGGUGAUCAAUGGUCGUACAUCGGUCAUCUAUAAAUUAAGGAAAAAUUGGUCGUUAGAGUUCAUCGGCGACUAUAACUAGUCUAUUAAUAAAUUAAGUGAACCUCUCUUGCAUCAAUGAUCGGGUAAAUGGACUGUGUCUGAGUAGUUGUAUCCUUGGUUAGAAUUUAUUUAUUCUUGAUUUAAUUCCUGCUAUAUCUGUGCUAGUUAAUUAUUUAUUUUUAGUUGGAUUGUUUAAUUAUUUUUAGUUGCCUAUCGGUGAAAUCCCCCUCUUACCAAUUGGAUUUUAAAAGAGACAAAUAUCUCCAGUCCCUGAGGAGACGACCCUAUUUGUCACUGUCUACUAUUCAGUAAUUUUCGUCAACUAAUUAAUUCUGGUAUAUCGGAUUCAGCAAACUCUUCGGGAACAGGGUGAAUCAAGUAACCCAUUGCACACCUAGAGUCCCUGCUCCAGUAUCUAGGAUUAAUUUUUGACUGCUUUUAGUAGUAUUUAAGUUUUUAUUAUUAUUAUUGCACAGGUUCGGCACCUGUCAAUUUUUGGCGCCGUUGCCGGGGACUGGCGUUAUUAUUUGUUUCUUUUUAAAUUCAUUUUUGUUCUAAUUUUCUGGCAUUUUUCUAGCGUAUGCCUCGGUCUUCUCGUACAGGUGAUUUGAUUUUUGACCCUGAAGUAGAGAAGACCGCGCGUAGAACGAGAAAGGAAACCAGACAGCUCAGAGAGGAGCAAUCCAGUGCUACGUCUCAGAGACCUGAGUGAGAAGUUGAACCAACAGAUUCAUUUGGUGACACUUCGAGUGACUCGGAGCAGGAAGAAAUCCCCAUGGCUAAUGCACGAACAUUAAGGGAGUUGGCUGCUCCUGAUUUAAAUCAACAGCCUUUAUGCAUUACUUUCCCGAGUUUGAGUGAUAACACUUCAUUUUAAUUGAAAUCGGGUCUAAUUCACCUUUUACCCUCUUUUCAUGGUCUACCAGGUGAGAAGCCACAUAAGCAUCUGCAGGAGUUUGAUGUCGUGUGCAACAGUAUGAAGCCCCCGGGAAUUACAGAAGAGCAGAUAAAAAUGAGGGCAUUUCCCUUUUUCUUGAAGGAUUCUGCAAAGGACUGGUUGUACUACCUACCGCCAGGUAGCAUCACCACAUGGGACCAAUUGAAGAAAAAGUUUUUAGAUAAAUAUUUUCCUGCAUCCAGGGCUGCGAGUCUAAGGAAAGAAAUUUGCGGGAUCAAGCAGCACCCAGGGGAGUCACUCUAUGAGUAUUGGGAACGGUUCAAGAAGUUGUGCGGCAAGUGCCCCCAACACCAAAUAAGUGAGCAGUUGCUCAUACAGUAUUUUUAUGAGGGGCUCCUUUUUAGAGACAGGAGCAUAAUUGAUGCUGCAAGUGGAGGGGCACUGGUGAACAAAAUCCCUCGGGAAGCAAGAGAGCUAAUAGAAGGGAUGGCAGAGAAUUCACAACAGUUUGGUACGAGAGAGGAUGUCCCAGUACGUAAGGUGAAUGAGGUAGAAACAUCCUCUAUCCAGCAGCAGCUAACUGAGUUGACCUCGUUUGUUAGGCAACUGGCUGUAGGAAAUGCAUCUCAGGCCAAGGUGUGCGGGAUUUGCACUGGUAUGGGUCACUCUGCAGACAUGUGCCCAAUGACUCAGGAAGAAACUGCAGAACAGGUUAACAUGGCUGACCACGCGCCCGCGCCAAGAAAGCAGUACGACCCUUACUCAAGCACCUACAAUCCCGGGUGGAGAGAUCAUCCCAACCUCAGUUAUGGAGGAAAUAGGCAGCCCAACUUUGCACCGAACAGGCAGUCUAAUUUCGUGCCAAAUAAGCAACCAGGGUACCAGCAGCAAUACCAACCCCGACCACCUCCGCCCCCAAACUCUGGUCCAUCUUUGGAGGAGAUGAUGAAACAAAUGAUGGCAACUAUUACGCAAAAUCAGCAAAGGACGGAGGCAACCAUUAUGCAAAAUCAGCAAAGGACGGACUCCGAAAUGCAGGACAUAAGGAAUCAGAUAAGUCAAAUGGCUACUACCAUCAACCGUUUGGAUUCCCAGAACCAAGGUAAAUUACCGUCUCAGCCUGAAUUAAAUCCGAAGAACGUGAGCGCAAUGACCCUAAGGAGCGGGAAGGAAAUUCAGGGGCCCGAGUCUGUGACUCCUAAGGACAAGGACAAGGAACGAAUCGAGAAAGAAUUGGAAGAGGAGGGCGGAGACACCAAAAAUCCAAAGGUAAUCUCGAAUCCAAUCAUUGCAGUUAGGACUAAUCCACCUCCCUUUCCUAUCAGGUUUGAAAAAUCAAAGAAGCAGGACAAGGAGAAAGAAGUCCUAGAGAUCUUUCACAAGGUGGAGAUCAACAUUCCCCUUCUAGAUGCAAUUAAGCAGGUACCCAGAUACGCAAAAUUUUUGAGGGACUUGUGUGUCAACCGAAGGCGGUUGAAGGGAGAUGAGAGAGUGGUAGUGGGGGAAAAUGUGUCAGCAAUCCUACAACGAAAGCUUCCACCGAAAUGCGGGGACCCAGGUAUGUUCACUAUUCCUUGUAGAAUAGGCAAUACCUUGAUUGGAAAGGCUAUGUUAGAUUUAGGAGUCUCAAUUAAUGUCAUGCCGAAAUCUAUAUAUGCUUCUCUGAAAUUAGGACCUCUGAAAGACACUGGAAUAAUCAUCCAACUGGCUGACCGAACCAAUGCAUACCCUGACGGAUUGAUUGAGGAUGUUUUAGUGAAAAUUAAUGAAUUGGUUUUUCCUGCUGAUUUUUACGUGCUUGAUAUGGAUGAUGAACACUCUCACGACCCAUCACCUUUACUGUUAGGAAGACCCUUCUUGAGCACAGCUCGAACUAAAAUUGAUGUAAAUAAGGGCACCCUAUCUAUGAAAUUUGAUGGUGAGAUUGUUCAUUUUAAUAUUUUCGAGUCCAUGAAAUAUCCUUCAGGAUCACAUGCUGGCUUUGUUUUCUCUAUAAAUGUUAUUGACCCUGUUGUACGAGAAGUUUUUGAAAUUGAAAGCAGGGAUGAGUUGGAAAUCGCCUUGACCAGGCACUUCGAGUCAGAGAUGGCGUCUGGAGUAGAGUUGAGUGAAGAGCUCAAAUGUGUGAUUGGAGUGUUGCAAACGUUGCCAACCACAAAAAUAAGGUAUGGUCUCGCACCCGUUUUUACACCUGAACCUCACCAAAGGUUACUUCCAUCUAUGGUGCAGGCACCUGUGUUGGAGUUGAAACCGCUGCCGAAACACCUUAAGUAUGCAUACUUGGGUGAGGGGGAGACACUCCCGGUAAUCAUCUCCGCGAGUUUAUCAAAAGUCCAAGAAGACAAAUUGAUUCAAGUUUUGAGAGACCAUAAGCAAGCGAUAGGAUGGACCAUCGCCGAUAUCAAAGGAAUUAGUCGCGCGGUAUGUAUGCAUCGAAUUCGACUCGAUGAGGAUGCUAAACCUAUUCGGCAGGCUCAAAGGAGACUGAAUCCCCUUAUGAUGGAGAUAGUGAAGAAAGAGAUCCUGAAACUGCUGGAUGUGGGAAUAAUCUUUGCUAUAUCAGAUAGCGCCUGAGUGAGUCCGGUACAGGUGGUUCCAAAGAAAACAGGGGUGACGGUAGAGUCAAAUCAGGAGGGCGAGCUCGUACCAGUUCGAAAGCCCACCGGGUGGCGGCAGUGCAUAGAUUAUAGGAAAUUGAAUGCCGUCACGAAAAAAGAUCACUUUCCCCUUCCUUUCAUUGACCAAAUGGUAGAGCGAUUAGCGGGUCGAGCUUACUAUUAUUUUUUGGAUGGAUUUUCAGAUUAUUUCCAGAUUGCUAUCGCACCUGAGGACCAGGAGAAGACUACCUUCACGUGCCCGUUCGGAACAUUCGCAUACCGGAGGAUGCCAUUCGGGUUAUGCAAUGCACCUGCUACCUUCCAACGAUGCAUGGUAGGUAUCUUUUCAGAGUAUGUUGAGAAGAUUAUUGAGGUUUUUAUGGAUGAUUUUAGUGUUUAUGGGGAAAGUUUCGAUGAUUGUCUAGAUAACCUGAAAUUAAUUUUGGUUAGGUGUAUAGAAACUAAUCUUGUGCUCAAUUGGAAAAAAUGUCAUUUUAUGGUCGAGUACGGGAUAGUUUUGGGUCAUAUAGUGUCAUCUAAGGGUAUUGAGGUUGAUAAAGCGAAAAUAGAUGUUAUAUCUACUUUACCUUACCCUGCGAGUGUGCGGGAAGUGCGUUCUUUCUUGGGACAUGCAGGUUUCUACAGGAGGUUCAUAAAGGACUUCUCCAAAAUUGGAGCGCCCCUGUUCCAACUUUUGCAAAAAGAGGUGCCAUUUGAAUUCAAUGAAACAUGUAAGAAGGCAUUUGAUAGGUUGAAGGAGCUAUUAAUCUCCUCACCUAUUAUCCAACCGCCCGACUGGAACCUGCCAUUCGAAAUCAUGUGUGACGCUAGCGAUUAUGCAGUGGGCGCGGUGCUGGGUCAAAGAGUGGGGAAGGCAGUCCAUGCUAUCUACUACGCAUCUCGAGCCUUGAACGGAGCUCAGUUGAACUAUUCGACCACCGAAAAGGAGCUUUUAGCUGUAGUUUUUGCUUUAGAGAAAUUUCGGUCCUAUUUACUUGGUGCUAAAGUUAUUAUCUUCUCUGAUCAUGUAGCUUUGCGGUAUUUGUUGACCAAAAAAGAGGCAAAACCACGACUUAUAAGGUGGAUACUAUUGCUACAAGAGUUUGAUCUGGAGAUCAGAGACAAGAAAGGGGCCGAAAAUUUGGUAGCAGAUCAUUUGAGUCGAGUACAAGUCACCGAGGACGACCUGCCACUGAGAGAAACAUUCCCCGAUGAGCAUUUAUUUUCUGCUAAUUUAUCUUUGCAUUGGUAUGCAGAUCUUGUUAAUUUCCUAGUUACUGACAAGUUUCCUGCAGGAUGGCCUAAGGCAAAACGGGACAAGUUAAGGAGUGACGCAAAGUCUUACAUCUGGGAUGACCCUUACCUCUGGAAGCGUGGUGCCGACCAAAUCAUUUGCAGAUGUGUAAGUGAAAAUGAAUUCCAAUCUAUUUUAGCUUAUUGUCACUCUUUUGCAUGUGGAGGUCACUUUGGACCAAAAAGGACGGCUCGUAAGGUUCUAGAGAGUGGAUUCUAUUGGCCGACCCUCUUUAAGGAUGCCUACUCGUUUUGUAAGUCAUGUGAUAAGUGUCAACGAGUGGGUAAUAUUUCUCGUAGGGAUCAAAUGAUCCAAACCCCAAUGAUUUUUGUUGAGAUUUUUGACGUUUGGGGUAUUGACUUUAUGGGUUCUUUUCCUUCGUCUUAUGGUUUUCUUUAUAUAUUGCUUGCCGUAAACUAUGUUUCGAAAUGGGUGGAAGCAAAGGCCACCCGUAAUAAUAACUCCAAAGUGGUUGCAGAAUUUGUCAAAUCUAAUAUCUUUGUCCGCUUUGGGAUGCCGCGAGCAAUUGUAAGUGAUAGGGGUACCCAUUUCUGCAACAAGACGAUUGCUGCACUUUUCAGGAGGUACGGUGUCUUGCACAAAGUCUCCACUUCUUACCAUCCUCAGACAAACUGUCAGGCGGAAACAUCAAAUCGGGAGAUCAAGUCAAUUUUGGAGAAAGUGGUUCGCCCCGAUAGGAAGGAUUGGAGCAUGCGACUUGAAGAUGCCUUAUGGGCGUAUAGAACGGCGUACAAGACGCCAAUCGGCAUGUCCCCUUAUCGUUUGGUAUUUGGGAAGCCAUGUCACCUCCCUGUCGAGUUCGAGCAUAGAGCAUUUUGGGCAGUUAAACAAUGCAAUAUGGACAUCGAAGAGGGCGGAAUUCAAAGGAAGUUGCAAUUACAAGAAUUGGAGGAAAUUCGCAAUGAAGCCUAUGAGAAUGCUGUGAUUUAUAAGGAGAAGAAUAAGAUAUUUCAUGACCAGCAGGUGUCUAGGAAAACGUUUGAAUGUGGGCAAAAAGUUCUACUGUACCACUCGAAAUUGAAGUUAUUUCCAGGUAAGUUACGUUCUCGUUGGAUCGGUCCCUUUGUUGUAACUAAUGUCUUUGAUUAUGGUGCAGUGGAGAUCCAGAGCCUAAGGACGGAGAAGAAAUUUGUGGUAAAUGGUCAUCGUCUCAAGCCGUAUUAUGAUGGGGCUCCAAUUGAACGGGUAGAGACAAUGCAUUUGGAGGUCCCGAUUUGCUUGGUUUAAGCAAAUUAUGGGCUAUGUCUAGCCAAAGACACUAAAGAAAGGCGCUUGUGUGGGAGGCAACCCGAAUAUUGAUUUUAUUGUUUUUAGUUGUUUAUUUCUUUCGUUUUGUCGUUUCUCCAUUGGGUAGUAUCAAUGCUAAUAUCUCCUCCACUGUGACCAGGAAGUGACAUCUUGGCGUGCCCACGCGGUGUUUGUAUCUUCUGAGACCAGAGGACGAAGACCAAUCUUGGCAUGCCCGCGCGGUGUUUGUGUUUUCUGAGACCAGAGGACGAAGACCAAUCUUGGAAGCAAAUUUAAUGAAUUCAAAUUUCAGAUUUAUAUUUUCAUUUUGGAAGCAAAUUUUGUCCAGAAAAUUCAAUGCCACUUAAUUAAUUUAGACCUUGUUUACUAACCCAAUUCAGCACUUAAAUUUAAUAGAUUCAGAUCUUAAUAUGUUCUCAUAUGUUUGAUAACGAAAAAUUGAACAUUUGAAUUAAUUAAGUGGUAUUGAAUUUUUUAGGCAAAACUUGUUCCAAAAAUAAGUGAUAAAUUAUUCAUUUAUCAGUGAAUGUAAUACACUCAAAUAUAUUUGAUUUAAUAUUUAACAAAUCAAUAAUUUAAUGAAAUUAGAUUUCAAUUUUGAGACUCUAGUUUUAUCAGACGCACCCUUAAAUUGUGGGAAAUUGAGUUAUAAAAAAGGACCUAAAUUAUUUAGUAUAAAUCACGUUUUAUAUUAGUAAAGUUAGUGGAAGAACUAGUAUAAACCUCAUUUGCGAAAUAUAAAUACGAGUAUCAUUUGCCAUACAAAUUACAAUCCAUUAACUCAAUAAUACUGGGAAUGAAACACCAGACUCAGAAAAGAAUGGCGAAAAAACUUGCGACUGCAAAAACAAAAGAAAAAGCAAAAGAAUUGGAAGAAGAAGCAAUGAAAGUGGAAAUGAAAACCAAGGAGGAGCUGAAGCCCUGGGAGCAGCACUCUGCUGUGAUCAUCAUUCCUCGUUUUGACUACAACGCCCCUCUUCUCUCCUCAGUCAUUCCCACUCCGGAUUCCUCAUCACCUGCCCCAUCAGUAAGGCCUCUCAUCCCAUCUCUUCUGUCCAGAAAGCUAUGUUCUUUUUUUUUUUUUGCUAUUUUUGUACCUUAUUGGCAUUUAUUUAUAUAAUUUGCAUCUGGGUUUUUGAAAUUUUCAAUUUGAUUGUUUGGGAUAGUCUGGGCAGUGUGGUGAUUGAUAAAAAGGCUUCCUUUGUUAUGUAGAGAGGGAGAAGAGUGCAACAAAAGAAGCCAUGUCAAUUCUUGAAAAGGUAAUGAAUUCUACUAGUUUUGUCUCUUGUCAGUUCUCUGGAAUAAUGUCAAAAUAAGGAAAUUUUAGACAUAAAGAAAAUUCAUGCUGACUUGAGAAUUAGGACAGUUAAAUUGGUUUAGUAAACUUGGUUUUAUGGGAUUCUUAAAUUCUAGGCAAGGUUGGGAACUUGGGGUAUUUGGAAGUGAAUAAGACUGUAGCGGACUUGAAUUACUGGUAUAAUGUGUUCGCUGCAAUAAUUGUUUUGGUUUAAGAUGAAGAGUGGCAAUGUUACGGAAUUGGUUUCUAAAGAAAGAAAUGUUUGAAAGAUUAAGCAUAAGUAAACGGGGAAUGGGACGGCGACUAAUUGAUAAAACUGAGGAAGUUUGGAGAACUGGGUGAGCUGUGCAGAAGAUAGGCACAGGCAUAUUGUGUUGACAGGUGCCGAACCUGUGCAAUAAUAAAUACUAAAAAGUCCUAAUUACCACCACAAUUAAUUAUAGAACAAAUCCGAGUACGGGAACAGGGACCCUAGGUGUGCAAUGGGUUACUUGAUUCACCCUGUUCCCGAAGAGUUUGCUUGAUCCGAUAUACCAGAUUUGUCUAUACAAAUAUUAAUUUUGCGUACAAUGGCAAGUAGGGUCGAUUCCACAGGGAGCAAGUAGGAAAUUAUUUCUUUCCAAAUCAAUAGAAUGGGGGAUUUUUAAUAGGAUGUAAAUGAAAAAUAAGAAUAACACUAAAGCAAACUAAAUUCAAAACUAAUUCACAAAGCACAAGUUACUAAAAGUAGCAAUUAAUGAAAUUCUACCCAAAGGAUCAACUGCUCAGGCACGGUCCAAUUAAAUGAUCAUCGAUGCAAAGAUAUUUCAUUCAUUAAUUACUAGGCUGGUUAUAGUUAUCAACAAGUUCUGACAACCAGUUCUUCCUUACCUUUUCGACAGUCAAGGUACGACCAUUGACUGCUUCUCUAACCAGAUAACAACCCUAGGUACGACUGUAGGAAUUUAAUUACCCAAUUGCACUAAAAUUAGAAGAACCCAACCCUAACUAAUAAACACGCUAAGAGGGUUUAUUUAAAUUAGAUCCUACGUUUCCCCAACAUAAAGCCAAUUAUGGUGGUUGUCACUAGGUAUCAACUAAACGAACAAUUAAGGAUUCAAUUUAGUUAAUGUGACAGUAGGCUAUUAAAUUAAAUCAAAUACUCGGCCGUUGAUAUUCAAUUAAUAAAACACACAUGAACAAUUAAUUCAGGAAACGCACGAAUAUCAAUAAAUUGAAAGAAAUAAUGAAGAUUCGAUUAGAUCUCACAGAUAUUAUGGACCGCGCCCUCACGUCAACCUUUGGGUAGAGGAGGAAAUUAGCCGCUCCUCAUCGUAUCAAUUUCGCGUGAUUCAAUUGACAUCAUCCGCACAAUUACCCAAGAAUCAAUUGCCCAGAAAUUGGGGAGGAUGAAUUAAUCGAAGAAACAAUCAACGAAAAACCUAGCUCUGUCUUGUAUUGGAGCCGCAAUUACAAAGCAAAAGCCAACGGAGAAUUGUCAAAGGCGAAAGGAGCGAAUUCAAGAGUCAGAGUCGCAUAAAGUAAAAACUACAGAAAAGGAGAAAGUCUCCAAUGUCUGACCCAAAGCCGCAGAAGAAACAAAAGAAAAAAACAAAAGCGUCUGACCAAAAAUUGCAAAAGGUAAAACUAAAGCUAAAAGUAGUGAUCCCCCCGAAUCUUGUUUUUUCCUCCUUUUUAUAGCCGCCGUCAGUAGUAUUCCUCCCAGGAGGAGGCUUUUGCCUAAGGGGCGCUGAUCCCACGCUUCAGGUUCACGUGGACCGGGGUCCGGCUUUUCGGCAACGUCUACCUUGUCUGGCGUGGCCACGCCCUAAAAUGAAAGGUCUUCUGGAAUUUUGCCUCGUGAAAGCACUUUUUACACCAACCACCUAUAAUUCAUACAAAUAUGAAAUAUUCAUACAAAUAUGAAAUAUGAGCAAAACCUCAAUAUUUAGCACAGUAAGUAGCCAAAAUUAGGACAAAAUAACCGUGCAAAAUGUGCCAAAUAAUUGCUCUAUCAAAUCCCCCCACACCUAGACAAUGCUUGUCCUCAAGCAUUUCGAAGCUCAGAAGUACAACCAAGAGAGCAAAGGUCAUGUAGUAAUCUAUACUAACACAAAUAUUUCAGAUCCCUGACAAUGUUGCCAAAAUUAGAACACGCCGAACAGGUAGUAGUUCAAAGAAAAUAUAUGAAUACUAGGAACGUUCAAAUCAACAUCACGGAAUACCAUUACCAUAGGCUUGCACAUUUAUCAAAUCUCCACCACUCAAAAGUGAACUAAAUACACAAAUCAAAGGGACUUUAAUAGGGUUGUAAUGGGAUUUAGAUAAAAGGCGGGAUAAGAGGGUGAAAAUAAGGUGUAAUGUGUCAAGAGAAUGUCCGAUAUCCACCACAUAACCACAACGCUUUACCGGGGAAAUUUCCCAAGCAGGGCGUUUCCAUUUGCUAUUCCCACUGUGCAAGUGCCGCCAUUUUUUUUUUCUAACGACAACUCGCAAGGCGUGGGCAUGCCUUGUAGGCUGGAGUCUUCUGUUCACGAGCCCCCCUUGAACUAAAAUUUUUUUUUUCUCUUUUUUCUUUUUCUUUUUCUUUCGAUCUCAGAUAUACAGAAACAGUACCAUACAGCAUCUACUCUG
rnacentral:lncRNA from 1 species